CGUUGAGCGGUGGAAGUCCCAGCGAUUUCUCUUCUUUCAAAAGCCUUCAUCAUCCUCGUUUAUAAAACCGUUCCUUCAGUGUAGUUCAUGGCAAGAUGGAUGGCAAAAAAUGGUUUGGUUUUGCUGCAAAAGAACAGGCGUUGCAGUUUGCAACUGAGAAGUAUGAUCAUGAUGAAAGUCUUUACAAAUAAGAAUGCAGGUGCAAUGACGCUCUGAAGAUAACUGAAAAGGUGAAAGUCACUCAGGGCAUCGGAGACACAAGUUGCAUCAAUAACAAGUGCUGAUGGUUCGAAAUGGCACCAGUUAGGAUUGCAGGCCAUUUUUUAAAAAAUGAUUUGGAGGAUGCCUGCCUUGCCAGAACUUCAAACAGCAAGCUUGGUGGUGGGUGGCCUUGGUCGUUGUCCAAAGCAUUCAAGACUACAACAUCCUGCUGAACUGCCAUCAGUGGUCACCAUUGGAAUCUCGUUAUUGAUCUAAGAUGGCAAGGCUGUUAUUUGGUACCGAUACCUUGUUUUACAUUGAUGGCUGUGCCCAAUCACUGGUUUCCUCUUUGACCGUUCCAAGUGAUCAAGAAUCGUCAAGGUCUGAUUUGCAGCAGUUUCCGAGAUGCGUAUGAAACAGUUCAUGAUAUGCUGCUACUAGGACUGUGUAGAACUCUGUGGGCGUCCCUCAAUCCAUCCAACUGAUGCAACUUCAACUAUUCUUCAGGCAGUUGGCUGUUUCAACAUGUCAAAAUUAGGGGUACUCUACUCGAGUGUAAGGUGAAAAUGCAUUUUCUGCACUAAACAGUUCCUCACCAGGGAAAUCAUAGGUCUUGCCGAUAUGGAGGAUGCAAAGAAAAAACUUGAAACUUUCUGAAAUGUCCUGUAUUUUGAAACCAAUAAAAAAUACGCUUUGUUUUAUUGUAAA